GAGCAGAUUGGUACCCCGAGAAAACAUUGUCAACCGCGGCGAAGCCAAGUGACAAUGCUUUUUCAGGGUACCAAUCUGCUCUAUCACCCCUC
rnacentral:sRNA from 1 species